CCCUGCAAUAGUUCAGGCGAUAAUUGUUGGUACUUCAGUUGUUCGCUUUGCUCUGCUACCUUCCCACAAUUCAUUUGGUAAUUAUUGGUAUUUCGGUUGAUCCUUGAGGCAUUGAGGAGGGGGAAAACGAUUAAGGAGGAGAUGGGGCUGUACAUGGAGAGAUUUUGCUGCUAUCUAGCUAGAAGCAUCCUCAGUUACUUUAAAAUCAGCGAUCAAAAUGUUAGAGUGGGUUUUCGAUGUUGGCAAUGGUGAUAUUUUAGGACACUCCACAGGUGGGGAGGACUCCGGUUCCUGGAUAACAAUUCCUGAAGAUCUUGUGUUGCAUCCGACUUCCAGUAAUGUGGAUGCAGCCAUUCAGAGUGUUUAUGAUUCUUUCUUUUUCAGUUAUACUUCUGCUGAUUAUCUUGCACAACGUUCUAUUGUGUGUCCAACAAAUACAGUUGAUGAGAUUAAUGAUUCAGUAUUUCAGCUUGCGCUGGGAAGCUUCAGAGCAUGAGCUUAAUUUGAAGGUUGGCGUCCUGGUGAUGCUUCUUAGAAACAUUAACCAGUCACUGGGCUUGUGUAAUGGUACUCGGCUACUGAUUAUAUGGCUUGGCGGAAAAGUUCUGGAAGGGGAAAUAAUUAGUGGCUUGCAUAGAGGCAGGUGUGUCUAUUCCGAGAAUUGUUCUGAAUUCUGUUGAUUUGAAGUGGCCAUUUACUUCACAACGGUGCCAGUUCCCGGUUCUUUAAUGCUAAAGUAUCACUAUUAACAAGAGUGA